UCACUUCCGUGAGGUCAACACCUUCUCACUGCAUGGCUAUCCUAUAGACAUCCUUCACGGAGGGGGAGACCAACAAGUGUGCAUGGAUGUUAUCAGUUGUCAACACUGGAAGGUUAACGAUCCACGAACAAUGCACUAUUCUCCAAGUCUCUGCCUAUUUUGUCACUGAGCAUGGCUCCAAAGCUUUGAUGGAAAAGAAAUUCAGAGGAAUGAAUAAAAGGUAAGGAUCAAGUGUCAGAAGAAGAAAAAAGAUAUAGGGAAACAAGGGCAAGUGAAGAAAGAUUUCAUGGACAUGGUUGAUCAAUCACUGUGACCUGGUUUCCUGGAAGGUCCCCAGAGAAAGCCAGAUGAUGAAUUUGCUAACACGUGGAUGAUCACAGCUGUUUGUGAUCACAAACCAGCCUGGAAACCAUUUCUUGUAAACUGAUUUAAUGCUCUUCUGCGGCAGACUGGAGUGCCGGUCUAUAGGUAAAGUAAGUAAUAAAUAUAGCCCGUCUUAUCAUCAAUAAUACAUUGACUCUGUACCACAGCAAACUUGCUAACAAGCUAGAGAAACAGCCUCCAGAGGCCGGGGCAUUGUGAGGUGGAGGCCCCGUGAGUCGUGCCCAGGGGAGUAAUCCUGGUCACAGUUGGAAAGAUGUUGCUGACAGUGUGUUUCUUUCUUCAGUGAAUCCUACAAUAUAAGAGGUGACUAACACCUUGCAAAAUAAAAUUAGAAUUCUAAAUAGUCUUGACAAGUUGGAGAAGCAAUUAGUCAUAAACUGAUGAAGUCACAAACAAGUAAGGUCACAGCAAUUAGAGACAACACCCUCACAGAUGUUAAUACUUGAGUGGGGAGAUAAACGCCUCAAACAGUACGUAAAGAAAGGACUGGAUGCCCUUCCAUGCAGAGCUAUGGAAGGAAAAUUUCAUUAUGAGCUGGUUAAAAAACACAGUCUUGGGAAUCGGACGGACUUGAGUUGAAUUGUGAGUCUUUGCUUCCGAGAUGUGCCUUCCUGGCAGGUUCUCACCUCUGCCUCCCGUGGUUUCCUCAUCUGCAAAGAAGGAGAUGAUAAUCUCUGCCUGCACAGCUGCUGUGAAGGUUUCAGUGAAGAAGAUCCUUUGUAGCAGACGCUGUUGGUUGCCUACCCACCAUCCACUUCCUCCUUCCUACUGGUUAACAGAAACUUACAGCUUGUAUAGGUGGCCGGACGCCCUCCAGGAUGGUGACCCAGCGCAGCCAGGGGUACAUCCUAAUCAACCCUCCUAUACUAUUGCUGGAGUCUUAUCUCCAUGGCUUUCUUCUUGAUAUGUGAAAUAACAGAUGUUCUUAUUAUGUGAA